ACAAGCAGCGGAGCAUGUGGUUUAAUUCGAAGCAACGACGAGAACCUUACCAGAUCUUGACAUCCAAUUGACCAUCUUUUAAUCGUAGAUUUUGCCUUCGGGUACAAUUGAGACAGGUGGUGCAUGGUUGUCGUCAGCUCGUGUCGUGAGAUGUUGGGUUAAGUCCCGCAACGAGCGCAACCCUUGUGUUUAGUUUGCAAACAGGUCAAGCUGUGCACUCUAGACAGACUGCCGUGGACAACACGGAGGAAGGUGGGGAUGACGUCAAAUCAUCAUGCCCCUUAUGAUCUGGGCUACACACGUGCUACAAUGGCCGGUACAACGGGCAGCGAAGGAGCGAUCCGGAGCGAAUCCUAAAAAGCCGGUCCCAGUUCGGAUUGCAGGCUGAAACUCGCCUACAUGAAGUUGGAGUUGCUAGUAAUCGCGAAUCAGAAUGUCGCGGUGAAUGCGUUCCCGGGUCUU
rnacentral:rRNA from 1 species